rnacentral:tRNA from 1 species
GCCUGGGUGGCUUACUCGAUGAAGCAUCUGACUCUUGAUCUUGGCUCAGGUCUUGAUCUCUGGGUCGUGAGUUCAAGCCUCACAUCGGGCU